CCAGAUGCAACAAUGUUGCAAUUAUAGAAGCUAAACAAACCCUAGGUAUCUGCUUUCAGCCGGCAGUGGGCUCAGAGCUGGAGCCGGCUCUCAGCUCCAGUGACAGCUAUAGAAGAUAAAUAAAUCCCAGAA